AAACGCUUGAAACCAGUUAUGCGAUUCAGAAAUCAGCUUUGGUUGAGUUGGAAUGGGGGAGAUUCGGACCGCAAGGCCGUUCUUUCUUUUAUCUUAUUCACACAGAGUGCACUUUUUGUUUGGCAGGUCAACAUCAGUUUGUUUCGCCGGAUAAAACCUUGGGGAAGGUGACAGCUUAGGCUGUGUUAUAGCCCCUUGGCGAUACGGCGGAGUGGACUGAGGUUCAGCAGCAUGUGCUUUCGGGCAAGGUCGACUGGUUGCUACCGGGUGGUUUGGGUUAAAAUAAUUUAUUUUGGCCUUCGUCCAUCUUGUACUCGGUCAGCUCGACUCUUCCAUGCUAAGGAUGUUGACAUAAUGGUUUUAAUCGA
rnacentral:rRNA from 1 species